rnacentral:tRNA from 1 species
GGCCUGAUGGUCUAGUAGUAUGAUUCCUUGUUAGGGCGCUUAAGAGCUCGAAUCGAGGAGGUCCCGGGUUCAAUUCCCGGUUAGGCCC